CCUCUACAUAUUGGAGCCUUUUCUCCUACUAGAGACUAAGAGGUACCCCUAUGGCCAAGUUGUCAGGACCUGAAGAUCCCUGUGAGAAGCAUCCCAGGCAGUCUGAUCUUGUCUCUGUGAGAAGCACUCUUGAUCCUGGAGACAGGAUCCCUAUGAGGAGCACCCCAGGCACUUCUGUCUCCAAGAUCCCUGUGAGAAACACCCCAGGCACUCCUGUCUCUGUGAUAAAGCUGCAACAUGGAAUUGUUUAGUUCAGAGUGUCUCCAACAUGAAGAACAUCAAUGACACUAACAGUCUCAGCUUCUAGCACCCCUUUAUUUGUAUGGUUUGCUCUGUGCCUGCAAGAAUUGCCUGUCACUCAUACUGCA